CCUACGGGCGGCAGCAGUGAGGAAUAUUGGUCAAUGGCCGGAAGGCUGAACCAGCCAAGCCGCGUGAAGGACGAAGGUGCCAAGCAUUGUAAACUUCUUUUGUCAAGGGACAAAAUCAGGCUCGAGAGCCUGACCGAGGGUACUUGAAGAAAAAGCAUCGGCUAACUCCGUGCCAGCAGCCGCGGUAAUACGGAGGGUGCGAGCGUUAAUCGGAAUUACUGGGCGUAAAGCGCUCGUAGGCGGUAUGUCAAGUCAAGGGUGAAAUCCCCGCGCUCAACGUGGGAACUGCCUUUGAAACUGGCAAACUGGAGUGUGUGAGAGGAUAGUGGAAUUCCAGGUGUAGGAGUGAAAUCCGUAGAUAUCUGGAGGAACAUCAGUGGCGAAGGCGACUAUCUGGCACAUAACUGACGCUGAGGAGCGAAAGCGUGGGUAGCAAACAGGAUUAGAUACCCGAGUAGUC
rnacentral:rRNA from 1 species